CUUGGGGUCUGCUUUCCACUCCUGUGUGUGCUAACUGGACUCUACGGUAAGGAGGGGCUCCGUGCCCACUCCAGUGUUCCUUUGUUUUGGCUUGGGCUGGUGGAUGUGCGUUUUGCUCUGCGGUGGGCACAGGCACCCUGCUCACCUGGGCACUCACCGCGGCCCCUAUUUGGCUCUCAAGAAGGCUGCUCGGACUCUGUCUUCUUACUUGGUUUCCUGGGAUGUUGUUCCUCCUCCUCUUCCUCCUCAUUCUAAUUUGUCACAAAGCUCCGUCACUUUCCAGCACUCACAUGAAGCAUGUUUUAAAAUUCCAAAUGCCAUGGCUGGUGCUUCUGUAGCUCGCAGUAAAUCAACAAGAGGCAAUCCUGCGUUUCUCUUGGAGUCUGCGUCAGAUAACGAUGACCCUAAAUACGUCACUAUAGUUUCUUAUUCGGUAAUUACUUUUAGCUGAGAGUAUUUUCUAUUGUUGUCCCACUUUGAAUAACAUGGAUUUUAGGCCGAAAGACUAUUUUCACAUCAUUUGCAUUCCCAGAACCUCUCAGAGUGCCUUUCACAAGCGGGUUUUCAAUGUGCAUGACAGGGC
rnacentral:lncRNA from 1 species